GAGCCUGUAGCUCAGCGGAUAGAGCGCCACGCUACGGACGUGGAAGUCGGGGGUUCGAGUCCCUCCAGGCUCG
rnacentral:tRNA from 1 species